rnacentral:lncRNA from 1 species
ACAGAACCUUCAAAGAGCGAAGACAAUCAUCGUACAGCAGCAACGGCAGCAGGAAACAAUGCUGAAUACCCCAUAUGGGCUAAUGAAACAAGACUUGGAAAAUAUCAGCACGCAGACCAAGUAAUAAAUGAUAUCAGAACAUUUUUGCUUCUUCGGGCGACGUACCGUAGCAGGCAUGAGUUCUGGAACAAUGAUUCUAUUUGUGUGAG